rnacentral:tRNA from 1 species
AGCAGAGUAAGCUAAACAAGCUAUCGGGCCCAUACCCCGAAAAUGAAGGCCAGACUCCUUCCUCUACUA